UAGAGAUAGUGGCGCACGGGUGCGUAACGCGUAACCAACCUGCCCUUGACUGGGGGAUAGCCCGCCGAAAGGCGGAUUAAUACCGCAUAAACUAGCAGCCUGGCAUCAGGCAACUAGUAAAGAUUUAUUGGUCAAGGAUGGGGUUGCGUGACAUUAGCUAGUUGGCGGGGUAACGGCCCACCAAGGCGACGAUGUCUAGGGGAGCUGAGAGGCUGAUCCCCCACACUGGCACUGAGAUACGGGCCAGACUCCUACGGGAGGCAGCAGUAGGGAAUAUUGGGCAAUGGGCGAGAGCCUGACCCAGCCAUGCCGCGUGCCGGAUGAAGGCCUUCUGGGUUGUAAACGGCUUUUCUCAGGGAAGAAAAAGACCAUGCGUGGUACACUGACGGUACCUGAGGAAUAAGCACCGGCUAACUCCGUGCCAGCAGCCGCGGUAAUACGGAGGGUGCAAGCGUUGUCCGGAUUUAUUGGGUUUAAAGGGUGCGUAGGUGGUUUGAUAA
rnacentral:rRNA from 1 species